UGGGGUAUCGCCAAGCGGUAAGGCAGUAGACUCUGAAUCUACCAUCCCGAUGGUUCGAAUCCAUCUACCCCAGCCA
rnacentral:tRNA from 1 species